GGGGUUGUGGCUCAGCGGCAGAGCACUCGCUAAGCACAUGCGGGGGCCCUGGGUUCAAUCCUCAGCACCACA
rnacentral:tRNA from 1 species